GACGAACGCUGGCGGCGUGCUUAACACAUGCAAGUCGAACGGAAAGGCCUCUUUCGGGGGGUACUCGAGUGGCGAACGGGUGAGUAACACGUGAGUAACCUGCCCUUGACUUUGGGAUAACUUCCGGAAACUGGGGCUAAUACCGGAUAGGAGCUCCUGCUGCAUGGUGGGGGUUGGAAAGUUUCGGCGGUUGGGGAUGGACUCGCGGCUUAUCAGCUUGUUGGUGGGGUAGUGGCUUACCAAGGCUUUGACGGGUAGCCGGCCUGAGAGGGUGACCGGCCGCAUUGGGACUGAGAGACGGCCCAGACUCCUACGGGAGGCAGCAGUGGGGAAUAUUGGACGAUGGGUGGAAGCCUGAUGCAGCAACGCCGUGUGCGGGAUGACGGCCUUCGGGUUGUAAACCGCUUUCGCUCAUGACGAAGCUUUGUGUGACGGUAGUGGGUAAAGAAGCACCGGCUAACUACGUG
rnacentral:rRNA from 1 species